GAGGGUGGGGGACUUCGGUGGAGGCACUCUAUCAUGAUGUAGCAAAUAUUAAGAGGAAACAAAAUUCAUCAGGUAAAACUUAGAUACCUUUAACGCCUUUAACAAAUUUAGAGGUGUUGUAAGGAUAUGAUGAAAAGAGACCCAAAAAAAAACAUUAUUAAUGUAUACUAUGUUUCAGAUAUUUCUUAUCCUUGCUCUGGGGUAAUGGUGGUUCAGUGAUAGAAUUCUUCCAUGAGGGAGACCCAGGUUCUAUUACCAACCAGUGCACCUCAUGGGAAGCCACUAUCCAUUCAUCAGUGGAGGCUUACCUGUUGCCUUGAUGCUGAACAGGUUUCAGUGGAGAUUUUAAACUAAGACAGGGUCCCCAUGAGUCCGGGAGGACUUGAUAGCACUUAACAAUAACAACUCUUGCUUCAGAAAUAAACUAAAACUCUGGUGUUAAAUAACUUGCCCAGCUAGUAAAUGAUGGACUCAGUUUCAAACCCAGGGCUUUUAAGCCUUGGGGCCUACAAAAAGCUUAUUUUUACUUGGUUUAGGACUUGGAAUGUAUUUACUUGUAGACAUCAUAAAGCCAGGGAGAGCUAGGUUCCUAAACCCAUUCACGAAAGUCUACCUGUUCCGUAAUGGGAAAGAAAUAAUACCAUUGGAUGGAAUAAUUAUAACGAAGACUAUAGACGAAAAUAGAAAAACGAAAGUGGUUAAUGUCUUCAAAUGUUGGCAUUGUGGUGAUUUUUCCCUUUUAAAACUCUCUUUUUAUUAUCUGUGCAGUAAAGAAAAAAAAAAAAACCAGGAAGGGAGAAAACUCUAGCCACCACUCCAGCUAUGUUUCCUUAGAACGAGGCACCCCGCAUGACAGCUGAGUGGGCCAGGAACUCAGUACCCUUUGUCAUGGGCACAGCAAUUGAAGCCCUUGCAUGCGUCCCACAGGAGAGAGAACUUUCCCUUCCCGCCACAGGCCCCCAGCCUCAAUCACUGCAGGUAGGGGUGGAUCUGAAAGCGGGUUCAUUCCAAAGGUACUCCCAUGGAUUUGAUGAGGAUGAAGCACAGUACCCGUGUGAUAAAUAAGAACUUCCACGGCUUUAAAAGUUCUUUAAAAAAGGUACACACUUUGCUCCCCUCCCCCCCUCCCCGCCCCACCUUGGAAAUUAUGAUUCAGAAUGACAGGAUGGGAUCCAGGAAUGUAAAAGAAACCAAAGGAGUUGAGUCAUCUUCAUGCUUGCAUUAUCUUUAGAAGCAAUGAAACGGCAUUUAACUCUGCUUAUUUAUUCAUUUAAGUAGAUGAAGGAGAAGUUUUCCACAGUGCUCCUGUUCAGGCCCUGCCAUCAGAUGACAUUGCCUACCAGGGGACAUGACAGAAGGCCAGUGAAAAAACUGCAGGGUGAUACCUUAGUUCAUAAGCUAAUUUAGCUUAUUUUCACACUUGAGACAAAUCCACUUCUUCCCAAUAUUAGCCAUACCAGCAAUCACAGUUAAAACUGCAUGCUGGUAACUUAAGUGACUCAAUCUUAAAAGCAACAAAAAUCAUGCAUUCUUUGGGUAGAUCUUUAAGCCAAAAAAUACAGGAAAUCAAGCUUUAUUUUUCUUUUUUUUAAGCUAGUACCUGAGCCAGUUUUCCUGCCUGAAAUGUCUUAACAUUGCUGUAAUUGUACCUUAGAGUUUCCUUUAGGAGCUAAACAACCUGCCCUUUCACAUAAAUAACAACUUGUCUUAAUGACAAAUGCGGGGGUGAUGGGUCCACAGUGCAAUGGAUUGAAGCAGGUUGUGUUAAGCAGACUAUUCCAUAAAUAAGCAAGUCUUAUUCACCAAAGUUAAGCAGACAUGGUAAAAUAUGCCUCAACUCAAAAGGAGAGGGUGCUUUGACAAUAGGGUGGAAGGGGGCGUCUUAUUUUAGCGCACACACACACAAAAAAAAUGGGACUUAGAAGUAUUAAAAUGCUUACAAGGACUUACAUGACUUAAAAAGUGUUUUCAGCAUUCUGCAUCCCACUUUGAAGUGUGGCGUCUGGGUUCUUAAAUGCUAACAAGCGGCCAUCUAAGAUGCAUCAGUUGGUCUCAACCCAUCUGGAUCAAAGGAGAAUGAAGAACACCAAGGUCACACGGUAACUAUGAGCCCGAGACAGAAAGGGCCACAUGAAACAGAGACUUACAUCAUCCUGAGACCAGAAGAACUAGAUGGUGCCUGGCCACAACCGAUGACUGCCCUGACAGGGAACACAACAGAGAAUUCCUGAGGGAGCAGGACAGUGGGAUGCAGACCCCAAAUUCUCAUAAAAAGACCAGACUUAAUGGUCCGACUGAGACUAGAAGAAUCCCGGUGGUCAUGGUCCCCAAGCCUUCUGUUGGCCCAGGACAGGAACCAUUCCCGAAGACUACUUACCAGACAUGGAAGGGACUGGACAAUGGGCUGGAAAGAGAUGCUGAUGAAGAGUGAGCUACUUGUAUCAGGUGUACACGUGAGACUGUAUUGGCAUCUCCUGUCUGGAGGGGAGAUAGGAGGGUAGAGAGGGUUAGAAACUGGCAAAACGGUGACCAAAGGAGAGACUGGAAGAAGGGAGUGGGCUGACUCAUUGGAGGAGAGUAAAUGGGAGUAUGUAGUAAGGUGUAUAUAAGCUUAUAUGUGACAGACUGACUUGAUUUGUAAACUUUCACUUAAAGCACAAUAAAAAUUAUUUCAAAAAGAAAAAAUGUUUUCAACGGAACAACCGGGAUGGAAAUGAGAAAGUCCACAACAUUGUCAAGAAUUUAACCAAUGUCACUAAACAACUUGUAUAGAAAUUGUUGAAUGGGAACCUAAACUGCUGUGUAAACCAUCAGAAACACAAUAAAGUAUUAUUUGGAAAUAGUUUCAAAAUCAUCUUUCACUGCUUCAUUUAGGACAAAACCGUGCCCUAGAUUCUCUAUGAAGUGUUUCGUAGGUUAGUCCCUUGGUUUUCUAUUAUCUCAGAUCUCGUAUUUGGAAAUAAAUACUUCUACACAAGGAGUUACUGGGAAACAAAGCAAUUUUUUAGACUAUUGACUUAAGAGAAAGUAGAAAUGUACUUGUUACCAUGACAUCCAUUAGUUGGCAUGUCUCCCUUGGGAUUACAAAUGAUAGGAACUGCCAAUGUCUUGUCAAUGAAUAGUCUGACCUUUUUUCCCCAUUACUAAGAUUUUCCUUUUUCUCUGUUUUCUUUAUUAAAAAAAGACGGUUACUUACCAAAGAAAAUUAAAGGAAUGUAUGUUCUCAAAAUCAGCUUGAAGUGGACAGUCUUGUGAGGUAGAUACGUCACGUUUUAAUGGACAAUAAAGUACCCCAUUCCUUGUUAGUUGUCAAAAGCCGACUCCAACUCAUGACCACUGCAUGUGUGCAGAGUAGAACUUCUCCAUAGGGUUUUCAAGGAGGAGCCCUGGUGGUGAAUCGUUUAAGAUGGGCUGCUAAUCAAAAGGUCAGCAGUUCAAAUCCACCAGCCGUUCCUUGGAAACCCAAGAGGCAGUUCUACUCUGUCCGAUAGGGUUGCUAUGAGUCGGAAUCAACUUGAGGGCAAUGGCUUUGUUUUGUUUGGACCUUUGGAAGCAGAUCACCAGGCCUGUCUUCUGAGGUGCCUCUGGGUGGGUUUGAAUGCUCCUAACAUUCAGCAAAAAUAGGAUUUGGAACAAAAGUGCUAAAGGAAAUCUUUUAAGUAAAAACACGUAUUAUAGACAAAAUUUUCUGACAUUCUGAUAUUCUCUCCCUCCCAAGAAGUUUGUACUUACACACUUAGCUGCAAAGACCAAGUGGCUCUGCACCCUGAAGAGACUUGAUUCUGAGAAUUGUACCAGGAUGAAGGGAGGGAGGUGCAGUUGUCAACUGGGCUUUUGCUUUGCUUUGGAGAAUUGGAACUGACUGUAGGAGGGACUAGCAAAGACCUGGGAAGAACCUCCUUCUGGUCCUGGUUGGACACUGCCUUGCUUCCUCACUGCUUGGUCUUAGGAGAGUCCUGAAGCCCAGCCCCAGUUUCCUCAUCUGCAGAUUCACAGGGAUGAUUUUGAUCCAGUUCUAUAAUCUCUCUGUACUGUUAACCUUACUCAUUCCCCAGUAGGGCUAAUUCAUUUCCUCUGUCACAUAUACAGUGACAGUUCUGUGAAAGCCAGAACUCCACCAGACUGCCCUAUUUUUCUGGGUCUUGAAAGCUUUCCACCUUUGACAAGUUGCAGAUAAUAUGUUUACACUCGACCCAGAUGGUCGUACUGUGGUGGCUUGCAUGCUGCUGUGAAGCUGGAAGCUACACGUAUUUCAAAUACCAAGAGGGUCACCCAUGGUUGAUGGGCUUCAGUGGAGCUUACAGACUAAGGCUAGGAGAAGCCUGCAGAAAGACAUGGGAACCUCAUACCACCAAGAAACAAGAGCCAGGAUAAUAGCAUGUCCUCUGGACCUGGGGUCCCUGUACUGAGAAGCUCUACGAUUGGGGAAGUAUGAUGGCAAGAACCUUCCUCCAGAGCUGACAGAGAGAGAAGGCCUUCCCCUGGAGCUGGCAGCCUGGAUUCAGACUCCUAGCCUACUAGACUGUGAGAGAAUAAACUUCUGUUUGUUAAAGCCAUCCACUUGUGGUAUUUCUGUUGUAGC